GUAAAGCAGUCUUGUUAGCGCAAAAAGAAAAGGAGGUUGUAUUCUGGCACGGUUAGGGGAAAAAGGCAGUUUUAGCUUCUGCCACAAUACUUAAUCUCAGGAUAAAGCACUUUACAUUGUAGCUUAAAAUGAAGACUGUCAGUUUUCUAAAAAGACCAGAAUUCAUCUUAUCUUGUUUAACCUCACCUGGUUAACUAUCUAGCAGAGCAGAUUCAUUCUCUUUAACACAUAAUUACGGUUACACCUUUUAUCCCAUAGCUCACUAAUGACUUCUGAAAGCAGUCUUCAAAUAAGACUGGUUAGCGCCGCAGCCAUCCUCUGCACGCACAAGGCACGGUAAGAGAUUUGAGAAAGGCAGAACCAGAAACUGAGGCGAAACAGAAUCCAGGGGAAUUCUCUCACAUCAACUCUCAGUGCCAUUUUCUAAUUUCAUUGUCUGGCUUGAGUGGUGAAGGAUGCGUGCUCUAUUCUUCCCUUCACUUGACAUCUACCAGAACCCUCCUCGGCGAUUAGGAGCGAGCCCAGCACCAAGCCCGCACUAGCCCAGGACUCUAAAUUCUGCCCUCGGAUCCAAGAAACUCCCACUGGCUUCAGAGGUGUGGAUCCACGCUGCAACAGCUCCUGCACAGGCUUCAAGCAAGGCUGCAGCAUGCAGUUCGGUGAUUUUGUCCUAGGAAGCCCGAAUUUUAAUAACAGCCAAACAACCAACAGCAACACAGCCUCCCCUCCCCAACUUUGGUUUCUCCUGGGGUUAAUCACACGUAUUCAAAUGGUAUUUUUGUGACUGUGAUUCAGUUACAACUUGAGCCAAUUUUCAUCUUCAGUGCUCAAGAAUUACAAGCAUGUUUGUAUGUUACCAUUUUUUUUGAGAACAAUACGAGGGACUAGCUUAUUUUUUAGUGCUGCACAGCUUCCAGGCAGUCUUUACAAAAUACCUUUCCCCUUUACUUUCUUCAGGAUUUACAAAUAGGUUUCUGUUUGAACUGUAAGCUAAUUAUUUGUUAAAUAUUUAAAUAAGGAGCGUUUGGACAAAUGGCUGUCCCGAACUAAUUUGAAAGAGAGAUCGCUUUUUUGUUUUUCUUUCCUGCUGAAAAUACUUCCCAACACACCCCUUGUGAUUAGCCAGCUAUCAGUACGUGUAUGUGCCAUUAGAUCCAUUAUUUUUAAGCCUUUCGGGCAGCUAGUCAUUAGAUAAACCAAAUAUGGAUUAACAUAGCAAAACUGUACAUUGCUAAGAAAACAGAGAAUAAAGUGCUACAAAACACUGUGAAUACCACUUAAAAGGAAGAAAAAGCAGCAACAUGCAGGGACAAGAUUAGUUUACAGUGUAAAUGGAUGAACACAGUAACUCCUCUACACUUUAUACCAUCGUAAAUCUGUCAAGAUAAGCCAAUAGAUUCAUAUUUUAAAAAAAUCCUUAAAUGUAAAUGUAUUUAGCUGUUGUGCAAAAAUGAAUUACAACCUACAGAAGAUAAAUAAUAAAGGCUUUCUAUCAGCAUCCCAAA